rnacentral:lncRNA from 1 species
GAAUAAACUUGAUAUAAGCAUCUUUGCAUAAUUAACAACUGGGUCAAAUUUUCUUCAUUUCAUUGAGAUUCUUGAUACAAGCCUCUGCUGAUGAAUUGGAUUCCAAAAAGCAGAUAUUGUUGUCCAGGCCACACCAUACGGGACUUACCACUCCCAGUUGCUAACAUCUGCACGUAUUUGCCUGGAGGUCUCCUCUGGUCACCAGAUCCUACUCUGCCUGGGCCACAUGACAAGGUGAUGUGCUGAGGAACAAAAGCCCCCAGGAGUAUCCCUCAAGCAGUGUUGGACUGGAGUUGAGCAGGUCAUGAUCCACAUGAAAAACUGAGGGAAGACAUCCAGGACCUGCUGGAGAGCACAUGGAAAAAAGUUGGGACACAGAAAAGGAAAGCAGCAAGAGUCGGGCAGAGAUUGAUCCCCAAGGAACUUGGAAUACCAUGGGAAAGGUUAAUCGUCCUCGAAGAGAGAGAGAAACAAAAGAAAAAUGAAAAAAGGAAAGAAAUUUUCUCCACAAAGACUCAGAAAAGCUACAAUCCUAAGAAGUCAAAACUAUAAUCGGCUUGAGUUGAAGAAUCCAAGGAUCUUUACAGUUUUGUGACCUGUCCAAGGUUACACAGCUCACCUUUUCAUUUUGCACUGGGCCCAAGUUAUGUAGCCAGCCUGCUUAGAGAUCUCUACUUACCCCAGUUUUCUGAUUUAUAAAACAAAAAUAAUAAUAAUAUUGUUAAAUUAAAU